rnacentral:lncRNA from 1 species
AACUCCAAGGAACCAUAAGGCACAGUGGAGCCCUACAGGCAAGAUGAUGGUGCCUUGGAGAAAGCAUAUUUAAGAAAGGGUAAAAUGUAGAAGCAGACAUGGAAAAUAUUGAUGUGUAUUGGUAUACACAUGGAAAAAGGAAAAGACAUGCCCAAUCUACAAAGCAGAUAUUGAGGCAUGACUGAGAUUUUCCAGAAGAGG